GAUGAACGCUAGCGGGAGGCCUAACACAUGCAAGCCGAGCGGUAUUUCUUCUUCGGAGACUUGAGAGCGGCGUACGGGUGCGGAACACGUGUGCAACCUGCCUUUAUCAGGGGGAUAGCCUUUCGAAAGGAAGAUUAAUACCCCAUAAUAUAUUGAUUGGCAUCAAUUGAUAUUGAAAACUGAGGUGGAUAAAGAUGGGCACGCGCAAGAUUAGAUAGUUGGUGAGGUAACGGCUCACCAGGUCGAUGAUCUUUAGGGGGCCUGAGAGGGUGAUCCCCCACACUGGUACUGAGACACGGACCAGACUCCUACGGGAGGCAGCAGUGAGGAAUAUUGGACAAUGGGUUAGCGCCUGAUCCAGCCAUCCCGCGUGAAGGACGACGGCCCUAUGGGUUGUAAACUUCUUUUGUACAGGGAUAAACCUAUCUACGUGUAGAUAGCUGAAGGUACUGUACGAAUAAGCACCGGCUAACUCCGUGCCAGCAGCCGCGGUAACAC
rnacentral:rRNA from 1 species